rnacentral:rRNA from 1 species
GCCUUAGUGCCUUCGGGAACCGUGAGACAGGUGCUGCAUGGCUGUCGUCAGCUCGUGUUGUGAAAUGUUGGGUUAAGUCCCGCAACGAGCGCAACCCUUAUCCUUUGUUGCCAGCGAGUAAUGUCGGGAACUCAAAGGAGACUGCCGGUGAUAAACCGGAGGAAGGUGGGGAUGACGUCAAGUCAUCAUGGCCCUUACGGCCAGGGCUACACACGUGCUACAAUGGCGCAUACAAAGAGAAGCGACCUCGCGAGAGCAAGCGGACCUCAUAAAGUGCGUCGUAGUCCGGAUCGGAGUCUGCAACUCGACUCCGUGAAGUCGGAAUCGCUAGUAAUCGUAGAUCAGAAUGCUACGGUGAAUACGUUCCCGGGCCUUG